rnacentral:rRNA from 1 species
GAUUGAACGCUGGCGGCAGGCCUAACACAUGCAAGUCGAGCGGUAGCACAGAGAGCUUGCUCUCGGGUGACGAGCGGCGGACGGGUGAGUAAUGUCUGGGAAACUGCCUGAUGGAGGGGGAUAACUACUGGAAACGGUAGCUAAUACCGCAUAAUGUCGUAAGACCAAAGUGGGGGACCUUCGGGCCUCAUGCCAUCAGAUGUGCCCAGAUGGGAUUAGCUAGUAGGUGGGGUAACGGCUCACCUAGGCGACGAUCCCUAGCUGGUCUGAGAGGAUGACCAGCCACACUGGAACUGAGACACGGUCCAGACUCCUACAGGAGGCAGCAGUGGGGAAUAUUGCACAAUGGGCGCAAGCCUGAUGCAGCCAUGCCGCGUGUGUGAAGAAGGCCUUCGGGUUGUAAAGCACUUUCAGCGGGGAGGAAGGCGUUAAGGUUAAUAACCUUGGCGAUUGACGUUACCCUCAGAAGAAGCACCGGCUAACUCCGUGCCAGCAGCCGCGGUAAUACGGAGGGUGCAAGCGUUAAUCGGAAUUACUGGGCGUAAAGCGCACGCAGGCGGUCUGUCAAGUCGGAUGUGAAAUCCCCGGGCUCAACCUGGGAACUGCAUUCGAAACUGGCAGGCUAGAGUCUUGUAGAGGGGGGUAGAAUUCCAGGUGUAGCGGUGAAAUGCGUAGAGAUCUGGAGGAAUACCGGUGGCGAAGGCGGCCCCCUGGACAAAGACUGACGCUCAGGUGCGAAAGCGUGGGGAGCAAACAGGAUUAGAUACCCUGGUAGUCCACGCCGUAAACGAUGUCGAUUUGGAGGUUGUGCCCUUGAGGCGUGGCUUCCGGAGCUAACGCGUUAAAUCGACCGCCUGGGGAGUACGGCCGCAAGGUUAAAACUCAAAUGAAUUGACGGGGGCCCGCACAAGCGGUGGAGCAUGUGGUUUAAUUCGAUGCAACGCGAAGAACCUUACCUGGUCUUGACAUCCACAGAACUUUCCAGAGAUGGAUUGGUGCCUUCGGGAACUGUGAGACAGGUGCUGCAUGGCUGUCGUCAGCUCGUGUUGUGAAAUGUUGGGUUAAGUCCCGCAACGAGCGCAACCCUUAUCCUUUGUUGCCAGCGGUCCGGCCGGGAACUCAAAGGAGACUGCCAGUGAUAAACUGGAGGAAGGUGGGGAUGACGUCAAGUCAUCAUGGCCCUUACGACCAGGGCUACACACGUGCUACAAUGGCAUAUACAAAGAGAAGCGACCUCGCGAGAGCAAGCGGACCUCAUAAAGUAUGUCGUAGUCCGGAUUGGAGUCUGCAACUCGACUCCAUGAAGUCGGAAUCGCUAGUAAUCGUAGAUCAGAAUGCUACGGUGAAUACGUUCCCGGGCCUUG